rnacentral:piRNA from 1 species
UGUGGUCCUACACAGAGCAAGAAGGACUAUC